GUGGGGAAUAUUGGACAAUGGGCGAAAGCCUGAUCCAGCCAUGCCGCGUGUGUGAAGAAGGUCUUCGGAUUGUAAAGCACUUUAAGUUGGGAGGAAGGGUAGUAACCUAAUACGUUGCUACUUUGACGUUACCGACAGAAUAAGCACCGGCUAACUUCGUGCCAGCAGCCGCGGUAAUACGAAGGGUGCAAGCGUUAAUCGGAAUUACUGGGCGUAAAGCGCGCGUAGGUGGUUUUGUAAGUUGGAGGGGAAAUCCCCGGGCUCAACCUGGGAACUUGCUCCCAAACUGCAAGACUAGAGUACGGUAGAGGGUAGUGGAAUUUCCUGGGUAGCGGUGAAAUGCGUAGAUAUAGGAAGGAACACCAGUGGCGAAGGCGACUACCUGGACUGAUACUGACACUGAGGUGCGAAAGCGUGGGGAGCAAACAGGAUUAGAAACCCCGGUAGUCC
rnacentral:rRNA from 1 species